rnacentral:rRNA from 1 species
GAUGAACGCUGGCGGCGUGCCUAAUACAUGCAAGUCGAGCGAACAGACGAGGAGCUUGCUCCUCUGACGUUAGCGGCGGACGGGUGAGUAACACGUGGAUAACCUACCUAUAAGACUGGGAUAACUUCGGGAAACCGGAGCUAAUACCGGAUAAUAUAUUGAACCGCAUGGUUCAAUAGUGAAAGACGGUUUUGCUGUCACUUAUAGAUGGAUCCGCGCCGCAUUAGCUAGUUGGUAAGGUAACGGCUUACCAAGGCAACGAUGCGUAGCCGAUCUGAGAGGGUGAUCGGCCACACUGGAACUGAGACACGGUCCAGACUCCUACGGGAGGCAGCAGUAGGGAAUAUUCCGCAAUGGGCGAAAGCCUGACGGAGCAACGCCGCGUGAGUGAUGAAGGUCUUCGGAUCGUAAAGCUCUGUUAUUAGGGAAGAACAAAUGUGUAAGUAACUAUGCACGUCUUGACGGUACCUAAACAGAAAGCCACGGCUAACUACGUG